UACGUAGGGGGCCAGCGUUGUCCGGGUUCAUUGGGCGUAAAGAGCGUGUAGGCGGCCAGGUAGGUCGGUUGUGAAAACUGGAGGCUCAACCUUCAGACGUCGACCGAAACCAUCUGGCUAGAGUCCGGGAGAGGAGAGUGGAAUUCCUGGUGUAGCGGUGAAAUGCGCAGAUAUCAGGAAGAACACCCGUGGCGAAAGCGGCUCUCUGGAACGGUACUGACGCUGAGACGCGAAAGCGUGGGGAGCGAACAGG
rnacentral:rRNA from 1 species